rnacentral:rRNA from 1 species
AUACGGAGGGUCCAAGCGUUAUCCGGAUUCAUUGGGUUUAAAGGGUCCGCAGGCGGGAAAAUAAGUCAGUGGUGAAAGCCUACAGCUCAACUGUAGAACUGCCAUUGAAACUGUUUUUCUUGAGUAUAGAUGAAGUGGGCGGAAUAUAUCAUGUAGCGGUGAAAUGCAUAGAUAUGAUAUAGAACACCGAUUGCGAAGGCAGCUCACUAAACUAUUACUGACGCUCAGGGACGAAAGCGUGGGGAGCGAACAGGAUUAGAUACCCUAGUAGUCC